AUGUACAGCAACUUCAAGGAGCAGGCGAUCGAGUACGUGAAGCAGGCCGUCCAGGAGGACAAUGCCGGCAACUACGUCAAGGCGUUCCCGCUCUACAUGAACGCGCUCGAGUACUUCAAGACCCACCUCAAGUACGAGAAGAACCCCAAGAUCAAGGAGGCCAUCACCGCCAAGUUCACCGAGUACCUCCGCCGCGCCGAGGAGAUCCGGGCCGUCCUCGACGAGGGCGGCGGCGGCCCCCCCGGCGCGCCCAACGGCGGCGACGCCGCCGUCGCCACCCGGCCCAAGACCAAGGGGAAGGACGGCGGAGGCGACGGCGCCGGCGGGGACGACUCCGAUCAGUCCAAGCUGAGGGCCGGCCUCAACUCGGCCAUCAUCACCGAGAAGCCCAACAUCAAGUGGAACGACGUCGCCGGGCUCGAGAGCGCCAAGCAGGCGCUGCAGGAGGCCGUCAUAUUGCCCGUCAAGUUCCCCCAGUUCUUCACAGGUAAGCGGAGGCCAUGGAGGGCUUUUCUUCUGUACGGUCCACCAGGAACAGGAAAGUCUUAUUUGGCUAAAGCUGUUGCAACUGAGGCUGAUUCGACAUUCUUCAGCAUAUCUUCAUCAGACCUUGUUUCGAAAUGGAUGGGAGAGAGCGAGAAACUAGUUGCUAAUCUUUUCCAAAUGGCUCGCGAAAAUGCCCCGUCAAUUAUCUUCAUUGAUGAAAUUGAUUCCUUGUGCGGUACACGUGGAGAAGGCAAUGAAAGUGAAGCUUCCAGGAGAAUAAAAACCGAACUUCUUGUACAGAUGCAGGGUGUUGGCCAUAAUGAUGAUAAAGUUCUUGUUCUUGCUGCGACGAAUACGCCAUAUGCUCUGGACCAGGCUGUGCGGCGGCGGUUUGACAAGCGUAUCUACAUUCCGCUACCUGACGCGAAAGCUAGGCAGCAUAUGUUUAAGGUGCAUCUUGGGGAUACACCGCACAGCUUAUCGGAAAGUGAUUUUGAGGUCUUGGGUCGUCGUACAGAAGGAUUCUCUGGUUCCGAUGUUGCUGUCUGUGUGAAAGAUGUGUUGUUUGAGCCUGUGCGCAAAACACAGGAUGCUAUGUACUUCUUCAAGAUAGAUGGUGACAUGUGGAUGCCCUGUGGACCGAAGCAGCCAGGCGCUGUGCAGACCACGAUGCAGGAUCUUGCAUCCAAAGGCCUUGCCUCACAGAUUCUUCCACCCCCGAUCUCGAAGAAUGAUUUCGAGAAGGUCCUUGCGAGACAGAGACCAACCGUUGGCAAGAAGGACCUGGAAGUGCACGAGAAGUUCACCAAGGAGUUCGGCGAGGAGGGUUGA
rnacentral:rRNA from 1 species